AAAAAGGAAGAAAAGAAGAAAGGGAAGAAAAAAAUGGUGGUGACGUGAAAGCUUGGCAAGGCUUGUAAAUUUACCAGAUUGCUAUCCAGAGAUCUAUGAGUGGAUAUAAAAACUUAUUUUUCAAAAUUAGUAUUUAUUAAAUUUAUGUUAGAUCAGAAAACUUGUUAUCUCAUACAGUUGAUUUUAUAGUAUGAUUUUAAGAAUAAAGUGGAUUUAUAA